rnacentral:lncRNA from 1 species
AACCCCAUACACUGCGCAGAGGGGCCCGGGGAAAGCCGGCCUCACGGGCGGGAGGGAGAGGCUUGAGCGAGGGGCUAGAGCCGCGAGGACUGACCAGCACCAGAGGAUACAAGAGGAGGAGAGAGACCUCACUGGUUCGGGCGACAUUUCACCCCCCCAGCACCCCAGUCGGCACAGCUUCUCACCUGGGGCGGGUGGGUUCUGCACCACCCUCCCACCCUCCUUCCUCCGUGUGGACGAUAGAGCCACAUCCAGCACCACGGACAGCUCCCGGGCGACCAAAAAGAAGAAUGUACUUCAUCUGGUUGGGCUGGAUUCCCUCUGAUAAGCCUUCCCAGUUGACUGAAAGAUGAGGCUAGGCUCUAGCAAGUUGAAGUCAAACCAGCUCCUUCAAGAAGCUUUGAGCAGAAUGAAGUGGGGAGGACCCAGCUUCCAGCCCAGGAAGCCCACUGUACCUGGAGCCAUCUGGGAUAAGACUUUGACCCAUGACUCCCAUAUCCACAGCCUGUCCAUCCUAGCCCAUCCCAGUUUAUCCUGUAUCAUUUGAGCUGGGAUUCCCACAUCCUCUGAGUUGGAAGUCCCAUCUCAAGUCUUCAAUAAAGACUCUUGAAUAUUGAAUCACA